rnacentral:tRNA from 1 species
GGUGGCUCAGCGGUAGAGCGCUUGCUUUGCAUGCAUGAGACCCUGGGUUCGAUUCCUCAGCACCA